rnacentral:lncRNA from 1 species
UAUUAGCGAUGAUAAAUUUUAAAUCGUCGCUAAAUGUUAUAUCUAACGACGAUCAUCAACAUAUCAUCGUUAAUUAAACAAAAAAAAAGAUAAUCAUAUCGUCGCUAAUAUCGCGGGUUUUCUUCAAAAUCCUUCUUGUAAUUUAACGACGAUCCAAAAUCGUCGCUAAAAUCGUCGUUGUAGACCUCUUUUCUUGUAGUGAAAGGUAAUUAGGUUUAAGACUUUAAAUGUUUAAUAAUUUAUAAUAUAAAU